UACGUAGGGCGCAAGCGUUUGUCCGGAAUUAUUGGGCGUAAAGAGCUCGUAGGCGGUUUGUCGCGUCUGCUGUGAAAACCUAAGGCUCAACCUUGGGCUUGCAGUGGGUACGGGCAGACUAGAGUGCGGUAGGGGAGAUUGGAAUUCCUGGUGUAGCGGUGAAAUGCGCAGAUAUCAGGAGGAACACCGGUGGCGAAGGCG
rnacentral:rRNA from 1 species